ensembl:lncRNA
AAAAAACUAAAAACAACAACAACAAAAAACGACUACAAUUCAGAGUAUGUAACUGAUUUAAACGGAGGUAGUGACAGCAACAGCAAUAACAACAACGACAUCUAUCAAAAUGCUUCUAAGAAUAAACAAGUCAGCUCUUAUUCAUCCAAGGAACUACUAUCAGACAUAAGUAACCAGCCAAACAAUUGGUCCAAGUUCAGCAGUGAUAAGGAAAAAAUAAGUAACUGUUCAUCAGAAAAAACAAUUACAAUGUUUAAGAUGGGUAAGUAUAGCACAGAAUAUAAUCAAGCUAAUAGUGAAGAAAGAGGUGGUAAGUUACGUACAAAAGUAGUGAAAAAAAACAGGCUUAUAAUUCUUAGUAAAAAAGGGAAACGAAUAAGAAUAAAAUUAGAUAUUCACAGAAUAUGUCUAAAAAUUCACCAACUAAAUAAAGAAAAUAUAUUAACAUUAAAUUUGUUUGAUAUAAAUUACUAUUUAUUUAUCUGUCUUUAUAAAUAUAAAUUUUUUUUAUAUGAUAAUAAUGAACAUAUUAGUUUUUAUUUGAAUCAAAAUGUUAAAAAAAUGAAAAUAAAAGAUACUCAUUCGAUACGAAAUGAAAACAAAAAUAGAUUUGUUAAAGCUAACAGGAGUAUAUACAAAGAUAGUAUUAUUGAUGAACUAUCAGAUGAAAAUGAAUGUAAUUCAGACAUUUUAAAAAAAAAAAAAAAACUUAAAAAAAGUCAACAAAAACGAAAAAAAAAAAAUUCUAUAAAAAUGAAUUUUACUUUCAAAAUGAGUUUAAACACAUAUGAUAAUAUGUACAACAUACAAGAUUGUAUUAUCAAUCCAAUAACAUUUUAUUUUAUAUUAAAUGAACAAUUUAAACAUCUUCCAAUUUUACACGUACAUUUUUAUACUACAAAUAUUAAUGUUAAUAUAACAACAUCCCUUUUGUAUUUGUAUAAAUAUUUACUAGCUAUAUUUAAUGUCCAGAAAAAUAUAGAUGAUGUUAAAAAUACAUAUAUUGAAAUUUAUAAUGACUUACAUUCAGAAGUAAUAAUAUUUUAUAAAAUCAGAACAAAAAAUAAUAAAUAUACAUGGAAGUUAAAUAUUAUAGGAAAAAAUGAAUAUUAUAGAUUUCCUCGAGUAUGUUUAUAUUUUUGUGUUAAUAAAAGUAAUGAAAGUAAUAAAAAAAGUAUAGGUACAAAAAUGACGAAUGUUACUACUACGAAGAGUAUUGACAAUGACAACACAGGAACUAAAAUGAUUAAUAACGAUAAUAACAAUAAUAAUAGGAUUAUGUUUAAAAAUUCAAGUUAUUGUAUGAUAAAUAAUGAAAACGACUUAAAUAAUGUAUUUACGGAUAUAAGUAAUAUUGGUUUAAAAAAACAAUUUAUUUAUAAUGUUAUAGCUAAUGAAGAAAAACACCUUCUUUAUGAUAAUACGCAAAAUGUGUAUGACAUUUUAUAUAAACUUACUUACCAAAUGCCUUUUUUAUAUAAAAGUGACGAUGAAGAUGAUGGAAACAAAGUAUUAAACAUAAUAAAAAAGAAAUGCGCAUGGAUAUAUAUAGGUGUCUUAUAUACUGAUGAUUUAUACUCACGGGCUUAUAAAGUCCCAAAUGCCAAACACAACCUGCUGGUCGAACCCGAAAUAAUAAGAAACAAAUGGUGUCUGUCCAUAGGAGCGUGUAUACAAAUAGAAAAUAACUCAGGACUAUGUUUUCGAAUUUAUAAAAAAGGAAAAAGCACAUAUUUUCCUCA